rnacentral:rRNA from 1 species
CUACGGGGCGCACCAGUGGGGAAUAUUGCACAAUGGGCGCAAGCCUGAUGCAGCCAUGCCGCGUGUAUGAAGAAGGCCUUCGGAUUGUAAAGUACUUUCAGCGGGGAGGAAGGGAGUAAAGUUAAUACCUUUGCUCAUUGACGUUACCCGCAGAAGAAGCACCGGCUAACUCCGUGCCAGCAGCCGCGGUAAUACGGAGGGUGCAAGCGUUAAUCGGAAUUACUGGGCGUAAAGCGCACGCAGGCGGUUUGUUAAGUCAGAUGUGAAAUCCCCGGGCUCAACCUGGGAACUGCAUCUGAUACUGGCAAGCUUGAGUCUCGUAGAGGGGGGUAGAAUUCCAGGUAUAGCGGUGAAAUGCGUAGAGAUCUGGAGGAAUACCGGUGGCGAAGGCGGCCCCCUGGACGAAGACUGACGCUCAGGUGCGAAAGCGUGGGGAGCAAACAGGAUUAGAUACCCCCGUAGUC